rnacentral:rRNA from 1 species
GACGAACGCUGGCGGCGUGCUUAACACAUGCAAGUCGAACGGAAAGGCCCUGCUUUUGUGGGGUGCUCGAGUGGCGAACGGGUGAGUAACACGUGAGUAACCUGCCCUUGACUUUGGGAUAACUUCAGGAAACUGGGGCUAAUACCGGAUAGGAGCUCCUGCUGCAUGGUGGGGGUUGGAAAGUUUCGGCGGUUGGGGAUGGACUCGCGGCUUAUCAGCUUGUUGGUGGGGUAGUGGCUUACCAAGGCUUUGACGGGUAGCCGGCCUGAGAGGGUGACCGGCCACAUUGGGACUGAGAUACGGCCCAGACUCCUACGGGAGGCAGCAGUGGGGAAUAUUGCACAAUGGGCGGAAGCCUGAUGCAGCAACGCCGCGUGCGGGAUGACGGCCUUCGGGUUGUAAACCGCUUUCGCCUGCGACGAAGCGUGAGUGACGGUAAUGGGUAAAGAAGCACCGGCUAAUUACGUG